GUUUUGUCGGACGGGUGAGUAACGCGUGAGGAUCUGCCCUUAGGUGGGGGAUAACGGUUGGAAACGACCGCUAAUACCGCAUAUGCCGAGAGGUGAAAGAUUAAUUGCCUGAGGAUGAGCUCGCGUCCGAUUAGCUAGUUGGUGAGGUAAGGGCUCACCAAGGCGACGAUCGGUAGCUGGUCUGAGAGGAUGACCAGUCACACUGGGACUGAGACACGGCCCAGACUCCUACGGGAGGCAGCAGUGGGGAAUUUUCCGCAAUGGGCGAAAGCCUGACGGAGCAAGACCGCGUGAGGGAAGAAGGUCUGUGGAUUGUAAACCUCUUUUGAUAGGGAAGAAGAACUGACGGUACCUAUCGAAUCAGCCUCGGCUAACUCCGUGCCAGCAGCCGCGGUAAUACGGAGGAGGCAAGCGUUAUCCGGAUUUAUUGGGCGUAAAGCGUCCGUAGGUGGUUGGUCAAGUCUGCUGUUAAAGAGUGGAGCUUAACUCCAUAAGGGCGGUGGAAACUGGUCAGCUAGAGUGCGAUAGGGGCAAGGGGAAUUCCCAGUGUAGCGGUGAAAUGCGUAGAUAUUGGGAAGAACACCGGUGGCGAAAGCGCCUUGCUGGGUCUGCACUGACAC
rnacentral:rRNA from 1 species